UACAGAGGGGGCAAGCGUUGUUCGGAAUUACUGGGCGUAAAGGGCGCGUAGGCGGCCUUCUAAGUCGAACGUGAAAUCCCCGGGCUCAACCCGGGAACUGCGUCCGAUACUGGAAGGCUGGAGUUCGGGAGAGGAAUGUGGAAUUCCAGGUGUAGCGGUGAAAUGCGUAGAUAUCGGAAGGAACACCGGUGGCGAAAGCGGCGCGCUGGACCUCUUCUGACGCUGAGGCGCGAAAGCGUGGGGAGCAAACAGG
rnacentral:rRNA from 1 species